rnacentral:rRNA from 1 species
CCUACGGGGUGCAGCAGUGGGGAAUAUUGGACAAUGGGCGAAAGCCUGAUCCAGCCAUGCCGCGUGUGUGAAGAAGGCCUUCGGGUUGUAAAGCACUUUCAGUGGGGAAGAAAGCCUUGGGGCUAAUACCCUCGAGGAAGGACAUCACCCACAGAAGAAGCACCGGCUAACUCCGUGCCAGCAGCCGCGGUAAUACGGAGGGUGCGAGCGUUAAUCGGAAUUACUGGGCGUAAAGCGCGCGUAGGCGGUCUGAUAAGCCGGUUGUGAAAGCCCCGGGCUCAACCUGGGAACGGCAUCCGGAACUGUCAGGCUAGAGUGCAGGAGAGGAAGGUAGAAUUCCCGGUGUAGCGGUGAAAUGCGUAGAGAUCGGGAGGAAUACCAGUGGCGAAGGCGGCCUUCCGGACUGACACUGACGCUGAGGUGCGAAAGCGUGGGUAGCAAACAGGAUUAGAUACCCUAGUAGUC